rnacentral:rRNA from 1 species
UACGUAGGGGGGCAAGCGUUGUCCGGAUUUAUUGGGCGUAAAGAGCGUGUAGGCGGCCUGAAAGGUCAGCUGUGAAAACUCGAGGCUCAACCUCGAGACGUCGGUUGAAACCAUCUGGCUAGAGUCCGGAAGAGGAGAGUGGAAUUCCCGGUGUAGCGGUGAAAUGCGCAGAUAUCGGGAAGAACACCCGUGGCGAAGGCGGCUCUCUGGGACGGUACUGACGCUGAGACGCGAAAGCGUGGGGAGCAAACAGG